ensembl:scaRNA
AUGGUCUGCGGAAAGGCUCCUGUGUGGCCGCACCUGCCCGCGUGUGGGUGCAGCCUUGUACCAGGCAGCCCGAGCCUGACCUAGAGUAAAACCCCCCGGGGGGGCCCAGUUCCCCCCGGGGUUUGGGUUUGCAGUAACAGGUGUGAACAUUCUAGCAGCAGUUUGAUGAUCAUGUAUGAUACUGCAAACAGGA